rnacentral:rRNA from 1 species
AUUGAACGCUGGCGGCAUGCCUUACACAUGCAAGUCGAACGGUAACGGGCCUUCGGGUGCCGACGAGUGGCGAACGGGUGAGUAAUACAUCGGAACGUGCCCGAUCGUGGGGGAUAACGAGGCGAAAGCUUUGCUAAUACCGCAUACGAUCUACGGAUGAAAGCAGGGGACCGCAAGGCCUUGCGCGGACGGAGCGGCCGAUGGCAGACUAGGCAGUUGGUGGGAUAAAAGCUUACCAAGCCGACGAUCUGUAGCUGGUCUGAGAGGAUGAUCAGCCACACUGGGACUGAGAAACGGCCCAGACUCCUACGGGAGGCAGCAGUGGGGAAUUUUGGACAAGGGGCGCAAGCCUGAUCUAGCCAUGCCGCGUGCAGGAUGAAGGCCUUCGGGUUGUAAACUGCUUUUGUACGGAACGAAAAGCCUUCUUUUAAUACAGGAGGGUCAUGACGGUACCGGAAGAAUAAGCACCGGCUAACUACGUG